GGCAGGGAAAACUGUUUCGGACAUUCUCAUAAUGCUUGUGUCCCACUGUCACUGACAAUCGCAAGAGGCACUGGUAUUAAAAAACUGAGCGUUCUCGAAUCAAGGAAUUAAAUGUACAUUUAUAUAAUGCAACAUUUUGAUGUAGCUGGAAAAUUGACUUGUUGCUGUGAAUUUGGAAAUUAAACUGCACAAAUGCCCAAUUAUGGAUUUAACUGAAAUGGAUGGACCAAAAAAGGUAUUUAGCAUGGUAUUUGUAAUUUCUUAUUAGCAGGGAGGUAAAACACUUAAUUAAAAACCCAGCGCCCGGCAUCUCUCUAAAUACUGAAAUUGCAUUCUUUCAGAACAAUUCUUCAUUCAAAAAACAUUCCGUUUUUGAGAUAGGAGAUCACCACAUUUAACAAAGUCAUUUUAUUUUUACAUGUAGAAAAAUGUACAGGAUAGAAGUUACAAAGUAGUACAGGAUACGGUAAAACAACAACAGAAAACGUUCACCGUCAAACCCAAUGCUUCAGACAGCUUUCUAUUGCUUCAGUAGAAAACUGAUUUAAUUCUUUACAAAUACAAAUAGAAGAGACAAAAAUGCGUUCUAUAGCAACAUUCUUAUAAAUACCAACAACAAGUAUUCAAACUCAAAAUUAUUUUCAACUAAAUAAAUAUCUACCCCAGUUUUGAAACUUUGAACUGAGAAAUAGUUGAUUUUGGUUCCUAUGUAGUGUUG